rnacentral:rRNA from 1 species
GGCUUGUCACGUCGGGUGUGAAAGCCCGGGGCUUAACCCCGGGUCUGCAUUCGAUACGGGCUAGCUAGAGUGUGGUAGGGGAGAUCGGAAUUCCUGGUGUAGCGGUGAAAUGCGCAGAUAUCAGGAGGAACACCGGUGGNGAAGGCGGAUCUCUGGGCCAUUACUGACGCUGAGGAGCGAAAGCGUGGGGAGCGAACAGGAUUAGAUACCCUGGUAGUCCACGCCGUAAACGGUGGGAACUAGGUGUUGGCGACAUUCCACGUCGUCGGUGCCGCAGCUAACGCAUUAAGUUCCCCGCCUGGGGAGUACGGCCGCAAGGCUAAAACUCAAAGGAAUUGACGGGGGCCCGCACAAGCAGCGGAGCAUGUGGCUUAAUUCGACGCAACGCGAAGAACCUUACCAAGGCUUGACAUACGCCGGAAAGCAUCAGAGAUGGUGCCCCCCUUGUGGUCGGUGUACAGGUGGUGCAUGGCUGUCGUCAGCUCGUGUCG